rnacentral:lncRNA from 1 species
GUUGUUCAGUUCUGAAUAAAUUCAAACCAUAUGAACAAUUUACAGACAUCUUGUAUCAUUUUUGGGUUGUGGUAAAUAGUGGUAAACCUGUAACCCAGCUGUUUUCACUUCUUAUGAUACAACCAUUGAAAGUUAAGGAUUGGUUUUUUCCAGCAAUGCCAAGUGACAAUUUUGCUGAAGUUUUCAACCUUCUUCAUCAAAAAGAGAAAAGUUCAUCAUUAAAAUUUUACACUUGUCCUCAAGGUCAUCCUU